rnacentral:lncRNA from 1 species
AAGGAUAUCUACCAGAAGUUAGGAUUCACAUCACAAGGGACAAGUGCUGCAAAGAUAAAAAGAAUAUGCUGUAAGAAUAUCUAUCAUGUAUAAUCAGAAGCAAAGAAAUUUAAUCUAAUCCACAUGCUGGAAAUUCCUCUUGUGCUACCAAGAUUUUUCUACAGUCCAUGGAAAAUUGAGAUUAAGUAUGAAUUCUCUUAUCUGCAGCUACAUAAGUCCAGGGUAACUCCAUUGAAGUUGGUGGACAUGAUGAGACAGAAGUAUUAAUGACAUAAUGCUGAUGGUACGAGUGUUCUUCCUGAGCUGAUCCUGUUUGUUUGCUGCACUCAACUACAGCAUUACAAGUCUCCAAUAAUGGAGAUAAGUAUUCAGUAGUACUCAUGGAUAGAUUAAAAAAAAAAAAAAAGACAUGUUACACAUGUCAGUGUGAAUUAUUAUCCUAGUUUUAGUGGUUUAGAAUUUGAAAAACAAAGGGAGGUUGAUGUUUGAAGUAUGUCAUUGAAAUCUCCACGGAGGAGGGAAAUUGGGAGUGUUAUACUACAG